GUGGCUCAGUGGUAGAGUGCUUGCCUUGCAUGCAUGAGGCCCUGGGUUCGAUUCCAGC
rnacentral:tRNA from 1 species